CGUCGUUUUGUGUAUUAGGGUUUCCAUUUGAUGUCGUCUCCUCCCUUCGAUAUCACGACAUAACCAGAGGCCUGAGAGAGUUGUUUCAGCUUCUUACUAACAAUCUCUAACAGUUACAUAUACCCCAUCUUAAAUUAUCACUCACGAUCUACCUUGAAUGCGAGCAUCUUCAUGCAAGGCGGUGGAACUUCGACUAUAAAAAGAUCAGACAAUGCUCCUCCACCGUUCUCAAGUCCGGUUGCUCCGCUUCUGGGAAGCUAGGAACGUCCGUCGUCGCGGUGGAGAAGUCAUGGGAGUGGAUAUACUUCUACAGGAUUCUCAGGCCACCAUGAUGUCGGUCACCGUGAAUGUCAACCGGCUUGCUGCUCACAGGCCUAAUCUGAAGGCGGGUUCAAUUUAUUCCCUAACCGGUUUUGAUCUGACCCGGUGUAAUCAGAAUUACGGUCUGUUGGACUCCUCUAUGUUGAUCCGUUUCAGUAACCAAACCUCUUUCGAUGAUGUCCCCGAACCGUCUAUUCUGAUAGGGGUUUAAUCUUUCGGGUUCCGAAAUCACAGCGAGAUGCUUGGCCUUGCCAACACAAACACUCAGAUUCCAGACUUGACGUUGUUUGGGAUCCACUCAACGAAGUAGGACUGGAGAAGCUCUGGCUUGUGGUAGUGACUAUGAGAUCAAUGUUGGAUUUAGUGAAAACGAACAAAGAAAAAGCUAACAAGAAGAAGAAGGACAAGAAAGAAGAGAGUUUGAUGAACUAAUUAGUUAACCUGUUAGAGAGAAGAUGUUUAUACCCCAGCUGUUGGAAUGAAGUUUGAGUCAUGUGUUCUGGGAAGAUGCUUUCUCUUUAAGUCUCUUGCAUUUAUUUUGGUGACAUCGACAAUCUUAUAAUAUCCGGAAACUUCUCAGUAUAUCAUGAGCUAUAUUACAUUUUCAUACUGUUAUUUUCUU